CCUACGGGAGGCAGCAGUGAGGAAUAUUGGUCAAUGGACGAGAGUCUGAACCAGCCAAGUAGCGUGAAGGAUGACUGCCCUAUGGGUUGUAAACUUCUUUUAUAUGGGAAUAAAAUGUUCCACGUGUGGGCUUUUGUAUGUACCAUAUGAAUAAGGAUCGGCUAACUCCGUUCCAGCAGCCGCGGUAAUACGGAGGAUCCGAGCGUUAUCCGGAUUUAUUGGGGUUAAAGGGAGCGUAGGUGGAUUGUUAAGUCAGUUGUGAAAGUGUGCGGCUCAACCGUAAAAUUGCAGUUGAAACUGGCAGUCUUGAGUACAGUAGAGGUGGGCGGAAUUCGUGGUGUAGCGGUGAAAUGCUUAGAUAUCACGAAGAACUCCGAUUGCGAAGGCAGCUCACUGGACUGCAACUGACACUGAGGCUCGAAAGUGUGGGUAUCAAACAGGAUUAGAUACCCUAGUAGUC
rnacentral:rRNA from 1 species